GCCGAGGUAGUCUAGCGGCCUAAGGCGCAAGCCUGGAAAGCUUGUGGGGCUUUGCCCCUCGGGAGUUCAAGUCUCCCCCUCGGCGCCA
rnacentral:tRNA from 1 species